rnacentral:rRNA from 1 species
GAUGAACGCUGGCGGCGUGCCUAAUACAUGCAAGUCGAGCGAACAGAUGAGGAGCUUGCUCCUCUGACGUUAGCGGCGGACGGGUGAGUAACACGUGGAUAACCUACCUAUAAGACUGGGAUAACUUCGGGAAACCGGAGCUAAUACCGGAUAAUAUAUUGAACCGCAUGGUUCAAUAGUGAAAGACGGUUUUGCUGUCACUUAUAGAUGGAUCCGCGCCGCAUUAGCUAGUUGGUAAGGUAACUGCUUACCAAGGCAACGAUGCGUAGCCGACCUGAGAGGGUGAUCGGCCACACUGGAACUGAGAGACGGUCCAGACUCCUACGGGAGGCAGCAGUAGGGAAUCUUCCGCAAUGGGCGAAAGCCUGACGGAGCAAAGACGCGUGAGUGAUGAAGGUCUUCGGAUCGUGACACUCUGUUAUUAGGGAAGAACAAAUGUGUAAGUAACUAUGCACGUCUUGACGGUACCUAAUCAGAAAGCCACGGCUAACUACGUG